UACCAGCACCCCGAGUGGUCGGGACGUUUAUUGGGCCUAAAGCAUCCGUAGCCGGUUCUGCAAGUCCCCCGUUAAAUCCAGCUGCUCAACAGAUGGGCCGCGGAGGAUACUACAGAGCUAGGAGGCAGGAGAGGCAAGCGGUACUCAGUGGGUAGGGGUAAAAUCCGUUGAUCCAUUGAAGACCACCAGUGGCGAAGGCGGCUUGCCAGAAUGCGCUCGACGGUGAGGGAUGAAAGCUGGGGGAGCAAACCGGG
rnacentral:rRNA from 1 species